AACGAACGCUGGCGGCAGGCUUAACACAUGCAAGUCGAACGGGCGUAGCAAUACGUCAGUGGCAGACGGGUGAGGAACACGUGGGGAUAUCCCCUUCAGUUCGGAAUAACUCAGGGAAACUUGAGCUAAUACCGGAUACGUCAGAGAUGAGAAAGAUUUAUCGCUGAAGGAUUAGCCCGCGUCUGAUUAGCUAGUUGGUGAGGUAAUGGCUCACCAAGGCUACGAUCAGUAGCUGAUCUGAGAGGAUGAUCAGCCACAUUGGGACUGAGACACGGCCCAAACUCCUACGGGAGGCAGCAGUGGGGAAUAUUGGACAAUGGGCGCAAGCCUGAUCCAGCCAUGCCGCGUGAGUGAUGAAGGCCUUCGGGUUGUAAAGCUCUUUUGUCCGGGAAGAUAAUGACUGUACCGGAAGAAUAAGCCCCGGCAAACUUCGUGCCAGCCGCCGCCGUAA
rnacentral:rRNA from 1 species